GUCCCCAGCAGCCCGAGAGACCCUUCGCCCAGCCCUCCGCGUGGCGCGAAAAGGCGCGUGGCCACGGGUGGGGUGAGAGAUGCUCCCCGCACUCCCAAGGAGAACCUUCUGGAGCCGACGCCCAUGCCGACGCCGCGCUGGCCCCCGCCGGGCUUCGCCGCCCAACUGCUGCCCUCUGCCGGCCCUGCGGCCUAGCUGUGCCGGAGGGCGCGGGCCUCCUCUGUAUGGUUCCUGGUCCUCCUGUUCUCCUUCCAGCCCUUUCCUCUCCUCCAUUCCAACCGCACCCGGAAACACUUGGGGGUUUCGGUUGCUCUUCUGUUAACAACUGCCAUCCUGUCCGACCUCCAGGUUGAGCUUCCGUCUCCAUUCCUUCUCGUCCAACAAGCGGCCUUCUAGUUAGCCAAGAUGGGCAGAAAGAUGGGUGCCAAUCAAGAAGCUGGACAGCUCACUCCAGAUAGGCUUGCGGGGAAUCACUGGGUUAAAAUUAGCCCCCCCACCCCCCCACACACACACCCAUGGGAAGAUCUUUAUAGGGCUUUCCGCCUUGUGCCUGUGAAAACCUCACAGCCUUCUCCAGGCUGUUUCCUCCAGUCUUUCCAUGGAAGAUUCUGGACUCCCGACCAACUGCUUCUUUCUCGAGUGUCAUUUUCAGAACCCCUUGACCCAGAACCAUUUCCUUGCAGGUUGCUCACCAGAAAACACUGACUUUAAAUGUGUUAACUAAAACCGCCUAAUGAUUGGUGCUUAGAUGCUAUGUAGACUGAAAGAAUGCUGUCUGUGGUCUCACUCAGUUUGUGAGACAAGAUUCAGGCUCUGGGAAUUCAGAUCAUCUGCCUAAAGGGACCUGAGUGGAGUGUUUUGGAGAGCAACAGUAUGCCUUGAUUUGGGCAGUUGAGAGAUUUCCAUUCAUGGAGAACAUUUGUGGCCAAAGAUUGUGUCUUUCUAACAGAAUAUGCUCGUGAUACUUAAAUACUUUCUAUUUAAGCUGUAGAAGACCAGGUACUGAGGAAGAACAAGAACUCAGUGGAGGGGUAGCUCCUUUGGUAGAGUGCUUGCCUAGAACCCUGGGCUCCCUUGCCAGCACCACAUAGAACUGGGGUAACGGUGCAUACCUGUAAUUGUCAGGUCCCCAGCACUCUCUUGGGAAGUGGAGGAAAGAGGAUCGGAAGUUCAUCCUCCCUUACACGAGGAGAGACCAGAGACCAUGGGGGGGGGUUGAUUUCAGGAUUUGGUGAAAAAAGAGAAAAAGCACCAGCAAAUAAAUAGUUGUUUUUUGUUGUGCCCCGUGUCCUGCCCACCCGCACCCCAAAGGUGUUUUCCCCAUCUUCUAGUGCUGGAGGUCACUUUGUUCCCAGUAAACCCACAACCCUUCCUGUGGAUAGGUAGACCACGGACUCUAAGAAGUACUGCUCUCAAAAGUGCAUCAAGGACGAGUCCUGGGUGCUCACCUAGGCCGAGCCUGAGCUCGGGGAAGCUGACCUUUGAGCUACUCGAAACUAAGAAGUGAAACCACAGGGGCAGACAGUGUGCGAGGCACCCGAACAGAGCUGUUCCACGGUGUUCUGCUGUGCAUCAGAUGCAGCCGGAGGAGCCACAAACAAGUUCCUAAAACGACGUGGGUCACUGUCCCUAAAGCAUUUCUGUUGGCGCUCUGAGCAGAAGGACCAUAGCUGACCACUCCCCCGAGCGGAGGCAACUUCGCCGCCGCCUUCUCGGAGCACAGGGCACUUGUUUUGGUGGUGGAACCCGAAUGAGACAUAAAGAUCCCUCUCCAGGAAGGAACCUUUGUUUCAAUGAGAGGUGCACAUUCAGCGUGGAAGUCAGGCCUCUACAUUCUGGAACAGUCUCGGUGUCAGAUGGUCUGCUUAAUGGCCUUCCUGUUUCCAUCACUAACGUGCCGACAGCCUACCUUUUCUAACUGAUAUGCUCACAUUGUAAUUUAUCUUCAAAAAAAUAAAUCACAUGUUAUAGCAUUUC